rnacentral:rRNA from 1 species
GUGGACUGCGUGUGCGCGAGUCAUUGGGUGAAACCUAAAGGCGCAAUGAAAGUGUCAGGGGGGCACUCCUCCGGGAGGGCCCCCCCGCUGGGAAGAUGGGCCCACCGUACAAUUCCUUGUCGGAGCCCCGCACUCCCGGGGCGUCUCGUUCUCAUUGCGAGUUGAGACGCACCAGGAGCGCACACGCUGGUACCCGAAAGAUGGUGAACUAUGCCUGGCCAGGACGAAGCCAGGGGAAACCCUGGUGGAGGUCCGAAGCGAUUCUGACGUGCAAAUCGAUCGUCUGAGCUGGGUAUAGGGGCGAAAGACCAAUCGAACCAUCUAGUAGCUGGUUCCUUCCGAA